CUGUGAAGUCGAGGAAGUGUCAAGGUAUUCCCCUAGUAACGCGCGAGUGAAACGGGAUAAGCCCAACUUGAAAAUCUCCCUUUGGAGAAUUGUAGUCUAUAGAAGCGUCCUCUGUGGCGGCCCGAGCCCAAGUCCGCUGGAAAGCGGCGUCAGAGAGGGUGAGAACCCCGUCGGCUUUCCGCUUAGCUACUCCACGAGGUGCUUUCCACGAGUCGGGUUGUUUGGGAAUGCAGCCCCAAAUUGGAGGUAAAUCCCUUCUAAGGCUAAAUACUGGCGAGAGACCGAUAGCGAACAAGUACCGUGAGGGAAAGAUGAAAAGAACUUUGAAAAGAGAGUUAAAAAGUGCUUGAAAUUGUUGAGAGGGAAGCGAUUGGAGGGUGUGAGUGCGUCUAGGCUUAUGCAUCUCUAACGAGCUGCUGUAUGUGCUAGAUGCUGGUCAGCAUGGGUUAGCCGGGCGGGAUAACAGCAUGGGUUGAUACCGUGUCUAUGCCGUCUGGUUGAUCAAGGUGUGAUUGGCGCUUAGUCCUUCGGGAACUGCGUCAACAAGAUGCUGGCAGAAGCCCUUCAAUCGGCCCGUCUUGAAACACGGACCAAGGA
rnacentral:rRNA from 1 species